UAAAGCUCAGGCUCUUCUAUCAUUUUGUUUGGUUAAGUUUUUUAGAAAAUUAUAUAUUUUUAUAGACGUUUGAAUUAAAUGGACAAGUCCGCUUUGUUGUGCAGCUCCUUUAAAAUGACAAAUGAAAAAUCUGUGUUGCAACGGACAGUUUUACAACCGGAAAUGAAACAAACACACAGGGUUGCAAUGAAAUGAAUAGAAACGUAUACGGAUAAAAAUGGCAUCAUGGAAUGAAAACUUAUGUUGUGUAUGCUAUUCCAAUUUAAAGCUUCUACGAGUGGAAUUUGUUUGUGUUAAUAGUUCGUAGACAAUUUUCUUUUACAAAUUAACACAUUUAAGUUUUUUCAAUACGUUUUCCGAUUACGUUUCUGCAUAUCCGACCAACCGAAGCUUGAUUAAUAAAAACAAAUAUUUUACAACACUAUUUUAGCAAUCAGCUGAUGUAAUAAAAAUAAGCAAACAAACCGGCAUCAGCUAGGUUUGUAAAUAAAACCGCCUAUUUUCACAAAAAUAUUUAUUAUCUGCAAAAGGUUUAUGACGAUGUUUAAGACAACAUGUUUCGAGAUGUGGCGACAAGAGAAAGAAAUGCCGCAAAUCAUAACACUUUGUAAGAAGUUGGAUGAUGAUUUAUAUGGUGGCUUAGCUGCAGGCUUAAUUACUGAAUUUUGUGGUGGACCAGGUUGUGGCAAAACUCAAAUGUGUUUGCAGCUUUGUGUCAAUGUGCAAUUUCCGAGUAGGGUUGGUGGUCUUCAGGGCAAAGCUGUGUAUUUGGAUACCAAUCAAGAUUUUAGUCCAAAGCGAUUGCGAGAAAUUGCGUGCUGUGCAGAGAAACGUUUCAACCGUGCUUUACCAAAAGUUGGGUUUGGCUUAGGCACGCAAAACGCUUUUACAGUUAAUUCAAUACUGGAAGGAGUGACUUAUUUGUAUUGUAAAAAUCAUAAACUACUACAAGCAGCGAUAGAGAAUCUACGUGAAAUGCUAAUUAAUGACAAUGCGAUAAAACUAAUCAUCAUUGAUUCGUUCUCCUUCCCUUUGCGUGUUAUUGAGGAUGUGGCAGAACGUACGGGUAUAGUUUAUAAUUUGUUAUCUCAGCUACAACAAUUAGCGACAGAAUUUAAAGUGGUGGUUGUUAUAACAAAUGAGUUAACCACGCGUAUUACUGGCAAUGAUUGGAAAAUAUGUCCUGCUUUAGGUGAUAGCCAUGCACACAAAAUUAAUCAACGCAUCAUUCUCAGUAAAUGUAUUGAAGAAAAGUAUUACAUUGCGAUAGUGGAAAAGUCGAAUUGCGUACCACAAGUAGCAAUACCUUUUGUGAUUAAACAAAAUGGCAUUCGUGAUAUAUCAUAAAGAGCAAAUCUUUUUUAAUUGUAUCCAGCUGUAAUCUUUAAUUUGUAUAUAAAGCCGGUGUUUGGAAAUGUUACUCUCAUUGUUUAAGAAGUUCAAUAAUUGGAAGGCAUAACACAUAGAUGGGGAGAGAAAAAACACAAGAGAGAAAUAAAAGAGAGAGAGAGAUGAAUUUAUAUUAAAAAUCAUAUACGAAUACAACGUAACAUUUGCUCCACAUAUCAAACUUUCAAAGCCGGUUCGUUUGUUUAUUGUUAGUGCAGAACUUAUUGACUCUUGCUUGCUUACGCUCCCUCAACUGAUAUUCACCUACUUUUGUUCACUUCCAAUGCUCACGCGAAUAAAAGUAAUUACAUUUGUGCGGCGCAUUUCAGUCUACGUUGAGGCGUUGAAGCAGUGAGUGUGCACAGUUGGCAGUACGAAAAUAUAUUCGCUUGCGUAUUAAAAUAGAGCGCCUAACAACAGCUGAUGACAUCAUCAUUCCAACUAAAAAGCAACAUCAUCAACGCCAACACUUGUAAAUAAUAACAAAAAGUGUGUGAAUACAAAGCGUGAUUUAUUACAUUUUUGAGUAACUAAAUAAACUAAG